AGUCGUAACAAGUUUACGUGAGGUAGAGCCUGCGACGAUUCAUUGACUAGAGUUAGGUCAUUCAUGGCCCGAGCCUCAACCCUUGUCGUUAAACAGUACCACGUUGCUUCGGCGGGCCCGUCCUCUCGAGGACCGCCGGGGAGGUUUCCACCUCUCUGGCCCGUUGCCCCGCCGGUGGCCAAACCACAAAACUCUUGAUAAACACUGUCGUCUGAGUUACAUUUAUUUAAUUAAAAAAUAAAA
rnacentral:misc_RNA from 1 species